ACGAGGCCUUUUGGGAGCUCACUGGCUUCGGGUUUCAUCGGAACUCCUAAGUUAAGCGAGUUUGCACGAGAGCAAUCCCAUGAUGGGUGACCCACUAGGAAGUUAUUGUGUGAGUUCUCAUAAACAAAACCGUGAGGCCGUGGUUGGGGUCCAAAGCAGACAAUAUCGUGCUACGGUGGAGUCGAGCCCAAGAUGUGGUAGGGGCCCGGGCUGGAAUGUGACAAUUUGGUAUCAGAGCCAAUCCUUGACCGGAAGUGUGCCGACGAGGACGUCGGGGCCCUAAGGGGGUGGAUUGUAACAUCCCACAUCGCCCAUGGGAUUAGAUCCUGUAAGCCUUAUAUGUAUAUUCUCAUCUCUACCUAACACAAGGCCUUUUGGGAGCUCACUGGCUUCGAGUUCCGUGGGAACUCCAAAGUUAAGCGAGUUCGCGCGAGAGCAAUCCCAUGAUGGGUGACCAACUGAGAAGUUCUUGUGUGAGUUCCC
rnacentral:sRNA from 1 species